rnacentral:ncRNA from 1 species
UUAAAGUUUGAUUUUGGCUUUUAUUUUACUAUUUCUUUAUUUUACAUGUAAGUUUUUGCGUGAGUUUAUGAAAUUUUAAUAAUUGUAUAUUAUUUAUCCGCAGUAUUUGGUUUUAAAUUUGAAAGUUAUUUUGAUUUGGUAAAAGUUUAAGUUCAGAAUAAAUUUGUGCCAGCAUUCGCGGUUACACAAGUUGUGCAAGUGAAAGUUCUUGGUUAGUAGUAAGUUUUAUUUUAGUCAAAUUAAUUAAUUAAUUUAUAGGUGAAAUUUUAAGUUGUUACUAUAUUUUUAUUGUUUAAGUGAAUCUACGAAAUUUUUUAUUUAGAGACUAGGAUUAGAUACCCUAUUAUAAUAAAUGUGGAUAUAAACCUGGGUAGUAAUAGUUAUGAUCUUGAAACCUAAAAAAUUUGGCGGUGCUUUAAUCUAUUUAGAGGAACCUGUUCCGUGAUCGAUAACCCACGAUAAAUUUUACUUGAUUUUAUUUAGCUUAUAUACCGUUGUUAUCAGAAUAUUUUAUAAGAAAAUAAUUUUCUUCAUUUUUUAUAAGAAUAUAUUUCAGAUCAAGGUGUAGUUUAUAAUUAAGAGGUAAUGGGUUACAAUAAAUUAAUUUAAAUGGCAAUAAAUUUGUAAAAUUUUAUUAAAGGUGGAUUUAAUAGUAAAUUUGAAAUAUAUAUUUUGAUUGAUAGAAGCCCUAAAGCAUGUACAUAUCGCCCGUCGCUCUUUUUAAUUAAAGAUAAGUCGUAACAUAGUAGAUGUACUGGAAGGUGUAUCUAGAAUGCA